UACGUAGGGGGCAAGCGUUGUUCGGAAUUACUGGGCGUAAAGGGCGCGUAGGCGGCAUGGCAAGUCGGGAGUGAAAGCCCGGGGCUCAACCCCGGAACGGCUUUCGAAACUGCCAAGCUAGAGUACGGAAGGGGCAACUGGAAUUCCCAGUGUAGCGGUGAAAUGCGUGGAUAUCAAGAGGAACACCUGCGGCGAAGGCGGGUUGCUGGGCUGACACUGACGCUGAGGCGCGAAAGCUAGGGGAGCGAACGGG
rnacentral:rRNA from 1 species